CGUUUGCUAAAAUGGUGCUCAACCACAAAAAUUAACGCCUGAAGGUCCGUGAGGUUAAUGGUACGUGGGCAAGGACAGUGCAAUCACACGCAGAGGCAAUUGGAGGUGAGUCAUGAUAAAUUUCGUAUGGAUUCCUCGUGGGACUUGGUACCUGUUGGGAAAUACCCACUCACCAACCGACCGAUCGACAGCCGGAGGGACCGACCGACCGACUUACGGUCGAAGGGACCGACCGACCGACCGACGGCCGGAGGGACCGACCGACCGACCGACGGUCGAAGG
rnacentral:lncRNA from 1 species